GUAGACAUGGAGUGCUUUAGAGAUAAGGUAUGAGAUAUUUGCAUAACCCUUGUUCUUUUCAACAAAGGCUGGCCAACAGACAAUCACUUUUUUUUCCCAUGGAUGUAACAUGCAAGUACUGGACAUAACUUGAAAACUAACAAAAAACUGUCCUGAGCUCCAACACCUGCUUAAAAUGAAGCCAUUUCUCUCAAUUUUCCAUGGCAAAGCCCAUGAAUGUAAACACAGAUGGACACAAAGCUUGUGCCAAGGCUCAUCGCAAGAUCAGAAAGGAGAAAACAUCUUAGCAUUGGCUUUAGAAGAUGUUGGUCACUUGAAGA